GUUACUUUAUUAAAUCUAGUGUAUCAUACAUAACAAAACCAGCCCAGCAUUCUGAUCAGGGUAAAUUAAUUGACACAAUUAAGAUAAGUUAGAAAUUGUCAUCCCACAGUGGCUGUGUGCAGGUUUUUUGUGUUUGUGCAGGGUGUGACUGGCAGGUGCAGCCACAACAGGUGUUUCUAGUUGAGCCCAAUCACUGGGGCUUCUUAAGGAGCAGGAACCUGGAUGGGGCCAUUGGCUUGUUGUCUCUGCCAGUGUGGUAACUAGACUAUGUGCUGCAGUUCUCCGCAUUUUCUAAGCCUGCUAUAAUUGAGUUUCUUGUCCUGCUUUUCCAGAUCUAAUCACUUUGUGACAGUGUCCUGGAUUCCAAGCUCCUGUUUCUCUGUAUCCAUGCUCAAGUGAGUUCUGGAAAAGACUCCCUGCUGCUCCAACCGUGACCCUCUCUUUCUUUCCUACCUCCAGCUCUGCAGCUCUGAGAUCACCUCGUGGAAACACCAAACCAUUGCUCACCUGCCUGUCCACCAUCCAACGCCGCAUGGUCAGUGGAAGCACUGCUGCUUAAGGAUCACAAAGAGAUGACAUUGGCACUGUGAAUCUCUGUACUACUACUCCUGCCAAACUCUGCCUCUGUGGGGCAGACUUGCCACCUCCAGCAAGCCAUCAUCCACCACCAACAUUACAUAUUUGACAACAUAAUCUGCAUACAACUUGCAAUGGACAUCUUCACAACUUUCAGGAAUGAAAUAAACUCAUGCGGAAGAAACAAAUAUUAAAGUCAUUGGCUUAUUUUUUGUCAUAGUAAGGGAUCAACUGACCAUCUGGGGAUGAAUUAU